UUCUGUUUUUACCCAUUGCCCUUUCGAUCGAAGAUCCGACCGUUCGGGUUGUUAUGCCAAAGAAAGUUCUGCUCCUUCCCGCUUCCUUCUCUCGUUCGUCCUUCCUAAACUAAACUUCUCAUCAUCUGACGCCUCUACCCCGCCUUCUGCUCAGCUUCUCCCUCUCAAACUGUAACCUCAGUUGAUUCUCUCGGUGCAAAAGCUGAUCUCUUGCGUCCCAUAUCGAGCCAGGAGAGAGGUCUACUGACCCAAACAAACCUCUCGAAGAGAGAAGAGAUCACCCGCGCCAUCGAUGAGCUCGUUGUGCUCUAUGAUGGCACUGUGACGGCACUGUGCCGACCAACUCAUCUCUCUUCGGUACAUAGAGAAUGCUUUGAACGAUGGAGAAGGAUCAACUAUUCAUUAUCAAGAAUGCGGCCCUUUGGUCAAGGAUGUUCUUGUGAGAGAGAAGAUUGAAGAAUAAA